AGUGAACGCUGGCGGUAGGCCUAACACAUGCAAGUCGAACGGCAGCACAGUAAGAGCUUGCUCUUACGGGUGGCGAGUGGCGGACGGGUGAGGAAUACAUCGGAAUCUACUUUUUCGUGGGGGAUAACGUAGGGAAACUUACGCUAAUACCGCAUACGACCUACGGGUGAAAGCAGGGGAUCUUCGGACCUUGCGCGAUUGAAUGAGCCGAUGUCGGAUUAGCUAGUUGGCGGGGUAAAGGCCCACCAAGGCGACGAUCCGUAGCUGGUCUGAGAGGAUGAUCAGCAACACUGGAACUGAGACACGGUCCAGACUCCUACGGGAGGCAGCAGUGGGGAAUAUUGGCCAAUGGGCGCAAGCCUGAUCCAGCCAUACCGCGUGGGUGAAGAAGGCCUUCGGGUUGUAAAACCAGUUUGUUGGGAAAGAAAAGCAGCAGGUUAAUACCCCGCUGUUCUGACGGUACCCAAAGAAUAAGCACCGGCUAACUUCGUG
rnacentral:rRNA from 1 species